rnacentral:snoRNA from 1 species
GCUCUGUGAUGAUCCCCAUGCGUGUCAUCUGAGCCUGGCUUCCCUGUCAGCUCAGCCCAGCUAGUUAGUGUUCUACUUCCCAGGGCUGUGGUCUGGCCUGGCGGGGACAUUCUGGGCAAAGGAUCAGUUUUGGUAUUCUGAGAGC